rnacentral:rRNA from 1 species
AGACUGGGAUAACUUCGGGAAACCGGAGCUAAUACCGGAUAAUAUUUUGAACCGCAUGGUUCAAAAGUGAAAGACGGUCUUGCUGUCACUUAUAGAUGGAUCCGCGCUGCAUUAGCUAGUUGGUAAGGUAACGGCUUACCAAGGCAACGAUGCAUAGCCGACCUGAGAGGGUGAUCGGCCACACUGGAACUGAGACACGGUCCAGACUCCUACGGGAGGCAGCAGUAGGGAAUCUUCCGCAAUGGGCGAAAGCCUGACGGAGCAACGCCGCGUGAGUGAUGAAGGUCUUCGGAUCGUAAAACUCUGUUAUUAGGGAAGAACAUAUGUGUAAGUAACUGUGCACAUCUUGACGGUACCUAAUCAGAAAGCCACGGCUAACUACGUGCCAGCAGCCGCGGUAAUACGUAGGUGGCAAGCGUUAUCCGGAAUUAUUGGGCGUAAAGCGCGCGUAGGCGGUUUUUUAAGUCUGAUGUGAAAGCCCACGGCUCAACCGUGGAGGGUCAUUGGAAACUGGAAAACUUGAGUGCAGAAGAGGAAAGUGGAAUUCCAUGUGUAGCGGUGAAAUGCGCAGAGAUAUGGAGGAACACCAGUGGCGAAGGCGACUUUCUGGUCUGUAACUGACGCUGAUGUGCGAAAGCGUGGGGAUCAAACAGGAUUAGAUACCCUGGUAGUCCACGCCGUAAACGAUGAGUGCUAAGUGUUAGGGGGUUUCCGCCCCUUAGUGCUGCAGCUAACGCAUUAAGCACUCCGCCUGGGGAGUACGACCGCAAGGUUGAAACUCAAAGGAAUUGACGGGGACCCGCACAAGCGGUGGAGCAUGUGGUUUAAUUCGAAGCAACGCGAAGAACCUUACCAAAUCUUGACAUCCUUUGACAACUCUAGAGAUAGAGCCUUCCCCUUCGGGGGACAAAGUGACAGGUGGUGCAUGGUUGUCGUCAGCUCGUGUCGUGAGAUGUUGGGUUAAGUCCCGCAACGAGCGCAACCCUUAAGCUUAGUUGCCAUCAUUAAGUUGGGCACUCUAAGUUGACUGCCGGUGACAAACCGGAGGAAGGUGGGGAUGACGUCAAAUCAUCAUGCCCCUUAUGAUUUGGGCUACACACGUGCUACAAUGGACAAUACAAAGGGCAGCGAAACCGCGAGGUCAAGCAAAUCCCAUAAAGUUGUUCUCAGUUCGGAUUGUAGUCUGCAACUCGACUACAUGAAGCUGGAAUCGCUAGUAAUCGUAGAUCAG